rnacentral:rRNA from 1 species
AAUAACUUACGCGGCCGAUGCGCGCUACCUGCAGUCGAGCGGUAACAGGGGAAGCUUGCUUCUCGCUGACGAGCGGCGGACGGGUGAGUAAUGUAUGGGGAUCUGCCCGAUAGAGGGGGAUAACUACUGGAAACGGUAGCUAAUACCGCAUAAUCUCUUAGGAGCAAAGCAGGGGAACUUCGGUCCUUGCGCUAUCGGAUGAACCCAUAUGGGAUUAGCUAGUAGGUGAGGUAAUGGCUCACCUAGGCGACGAUCCCUAGCUGGUCUGAGAGGAUGAUCAGCCACACUGGGACUGAGACACGGCCCAGACUCCUACGGGAGGCAGCAGUGGGGAAUAUUGCACAAUGGGCGCAAGCCUGAUGCAGCCAUGCCGCGUGUAUGAAGAAGGCCCUAGGGUUGUAAAGUACUUUCGUGGAGAAGGCGUGAUGCUCAAUAUCAUCAACGAUGACGUACACAGAAGAAGCACGGCACUCCGUGCAGCAGCCCGUAAUACGGAGGGUGCAAGCGUUAAUCGGAAUUACUGGCGUAAAGCGCAGCAGGCGGUUGAUAAGUUAGAUGUGAAUCCCCGGGCUAACCUUGGAAUGAUCUAAGACUGGUCAGCUAGAGUCUUGUAGAGGGGGGUAGAUUCCAUGUAGCGGUGAAAGCGUAGGAUGUGAGGAAUACCGUGGCGAGGCGGCCCCCCUGGCAAAGACUGAGUCAGGUGCGAAAGCGCUGGGAGCAAACGAUUAGAAUACCCUGGAUCACCGCGAAAAGUCGAUUUGAAGGUUGUUCCCUUAGGAGUGGCUUUCGGAGGCAAGCGUUAAUGCCGCUGGGGGAGUACGGCGCAGGUAAAAUAAUGAAUGAGGGGGCCCGACAGCCGGGGCAGGGUUUAAUUGAUGCAAGGAAGACUUACUAUCUUGACCUCCAGAGAAUUAACAAAGUUUGUGCCUUGGAACUUGAACAGGCGCAUGGGUGUAGGUCGUGUUGAAAGUGGGAUUAGUUCCGCACGGGCACCCUUAUCUUUUGUUCCGCAUAGUGCAGGUACUCAAAAGGAAGACUGCCCGAGUGAAUAACCGGAAGGAAGGGUGAGGGAAUGAACGUAGUCCAUCAUGGCCUUACGAUAGGCUACACAUACCGCUAGCAUGGCCGUAGCCAGAAGCGACUCGCGAGAGCAAGCGGAACUCAUAAAGUACGUCGUAGUCCGGAUUGGAGUCUGCAACUCGACUCCAUGAAGUCGGAAUCGCUAGUAAUCGUAGAUCAGAAUGCUACGGUGAAUACGUUCCCGGGCCUUGUACACACCGCCCGUCACACCAUGGGAGUGGGUUGCAAAAGAAGUAGGUAGCUUAACCUUCGGGAGGGCGCUUACCACUUUUGAUUCAGAUGCGGA